UAAUUUGAUGUUUAUUCUUUUCAGAUACAGAUGAAUAUAGACCUCCUGUUUGGAAAUCUUACUUGUACCAGCUGCAACAGGAAGCUCCCCAUCCUAGAAGAAUUACCUGUACUAAUGAGGU